UACGUAGGGUGCAAGCGUUGUCCGGAAUUAUUGGGCGUAAAGAGCUCGUAGGCGGUUUGUCGCGUCGAAUGUGAAAACCCGGGGCUCAACCCCGGGCCUGCAUUCGAUACGGGCAGACUAGAGUUCGGUAGGGGAGUCUGGAAUUCCUGGUGUAGCGGUGAAAUGCGCAGAUAUCAGGAGGAACACCGGUGGCGAAGGCGGGACUCUGGGCCGAUACUGACGCUGAGGAGCGAAAGCGUGGGUAGCAAACAGG
rnacentral:rRNA from 1 species